UACGUUCCCGGGCCUUGUACACACCGCCCGUCACGUCACGAAAGUCGGUAACACCCGAAGCCCGUGGCCCAACCAGUAAUGGGGGGAGCGGUCGAAGGUGGGACUGGCGAUUGGGACG
rnacentral:rRNA from 1 species